AGGAGGGUGGAUUCUGAUUGGCUGUGAACAGGGGUGGAGCUAGGGGUGGGCGUGUCCCCCUCUUUGGACAAAAGAUUUUGCCAUCUUACAUUUGCAGUUUCAUGCAAGAUAUUAGAAAGAGCCUGUAACGCCAUCAGACCUGACAUGAAACGUGACGUGAGGAGCUGAAGCUGGUUGUGACAGCACCUGACAACUUCUGGAAAGCAGCAGUCUCAUCAGUUACCAGGCCCCUGCCAAACACCGAUCCCCAUCAGCGGGACGGCCAAGCGGAUUCCUUUAUUCCUCAUCGAAGAUGUCAUCCCAAGCUUACGUGAUGUUGUGUCCCUUUUAAAGGAGCCAGGCCAGUCAGGAUUUAACUGCUACUUUAUAAUGUAUUUAAUCAUAUUGCAAUGAUAAUAAAGGUCAUGUCAGAAUGUUAUGUCAGUUGCCUUGUGCAGAUUGUGUUUAGUGCUGGUAAAACAUGCAAUUAUAUGCAUUCAUUCAGCUAUUUAGCAUAACCUAACAAACAACGUCCGAUCAAACUAAACUCAACAGGGUGGCAAAUUAUGUAGCCAGCAAAAGGAAACGUAAUCGGCCAGCAGAUAUUUUUUAAAUUAACUCAUCAUGACAUCACAAAAUCAUUGAAUUACUCUGAUAUGGGUCAGUUUAGGACUUUGCUAACUUGAUGGAGUGUCCUACCAUUGUUUUAUCUCAAUGUUUUUCUAGGGUGAUUUCAGGACUCUUUUAAAUGUAGUCUAUUGUGAUACCAUUUCACGCCAUUAUAAUCUCAUCUUGUUCCAACUUCUUUAAACUCAUUGCAUGCUCAAAAAGGAACUUUUAUUAUGACUAAGUAGGCCGCUGACGUGCCCGAGUACAAAGGCCCUGGCGGAGAUCACACAGGAACCUUAGUUUUAUAUUU